rnacentral:rRNA from 1 species
AAUCAACGCUGGCGGCGUGCCUAACACAUGCAAGUCGAGCGAGAAAAGGGGAGCAAUCCCCUGAGUACAGCGGCGCACGGGUGAGUAACACGUGGGUAAUCUGCCCUGGAGUGGGGAAUAACACCGGGAAACCGGUGCUAAUACCGCAUACGAUCACAGAGUCUGCGGAUUUUGUGAUGAAAGGAGCAAUUCGCUCUAGGAGGAGCCCGCGGCUGAUUAGCUAGUUGGUGAGGUAAUGGCUCACCAAGGCAACGAUCAGUAUCCGGUCUGAGAGGACGGUCGGACACACUGGAACUGAGACACGGUCCAGACUCCUACGGGAGGCCGCAGUGGGGAAUUUUUGGCAAUGGGGGCAACCCUGACCAAGCAACGCCGCGUGGGUGAUGAAGUCUCUUGGGACGUAAAACCCUUUCGACGGGGACGAGACCGCAAGGUUGACGGUACCCGUAGAAGAAGCCCCGGCUAACUCCGUGCCAGCAGCCGCAGUAA